rnacentral:rRNA from 1 species
AGUGAAUAGAUACCCUGGUAGUCCCAGCUGUAAACGAUGCGCGUUAGGUGUAUCGGUGACCACGAGUCACCGAGGUGCCGAAGGGAAACCGUGAAACGUGCCGCCUGGGAAGUACGGUCGCAAGGCUGAAACUUAAAGGAAUUGGCGGGGGAGCACCACAACAGGUGGAGCCUGCGGUUUAAUCGGACUCAACGCCGGGAAGCUCACCGGAUAAGACAGCUGAAUGAUAGCCGGGUUGAAGACUCUGCUUGACUAGCUGAGAGGAGGUGCAUGGCCGUCGUCAGUUCGUACUGUGAAGCAUCCUGUUAAGUCAGGCAACGAGCGAGACCCACGCCAACAGUUGCCAGCAUGUCCUCCGGGAUGGUGGGGACACUGUUGGGACCGCCUCUGCUAAAGAGGAGGAAGGAAUGGGCAACGGUAGGUCAGCAUGCCCCGAAUUAUCCGGGCUACACGCGGGCUACAAUGGUCAGGACAAUGGGUAUCAACACCGAAAGGUGAAGGCAAUCUCCUAAACCUGUCC